CAUUCUCAGUUCGGAUUGUAGGCUGAAACUCGCCUACAUGAAGCUGGAGUUACUAGUAAUCGCAGAUCAGAAUGCUGCGGUGAAUACGUUCCCGGGCCUUGUACACACCGCCCGUCACACCAUGGGAGUUUGUAACGCCCAAAGUCGGUGGCCUAACCUUUAUGGAGGGAGCCGCCUAAGGCGGGACAGAUGACUGGGGUGAAGUCGUAACAAGGUAUC
rnacentral:rRNA from 1 species